AGAGCGAACGCUGGCGGCAAGCUUAACACAUGCAAGUCGAACGAGAUCUUCGGAUCUAGUGGCGGACGGGUGCGUAACACGUGGGAAUCUACCUUUAGGUAAGGAAUAACUCAGGGAAACUUGUGCUAAAAACCUUAUAAUGUCUUCGGACCAAAUAUUUAUAGCCUAAAGAUGAGCCCGCGGUAGAUUAGCUAGUUGGUGGGGUAAUGGCCUACCAAGGCAACGAUCUAUAGCUGGUCUUAGAGGAUGAUCAGCCACACUGGGACUGAGACACGGCCCAGACUCCUACGGGAGGCAGCAGUGGGGAAUAUUGGGCAAUGGACGAAAGUCUGACCCAGCUAUGCCGCGUGAAUGAUGAAGGCCUUAGGGUUGUAAAGUUCUUUUACCGGGAAGAUAAUGACGGUACCGGAGAAAAGCUACCGGCUAACUUCGCGCCAGCAGCCGC
rnacentral:rRNA from 1 species